CUUGGUUUGCAGAUGCUGAAGCUAUAAACCCAACACUAACUCUACACAGAUAGAACAUAGACCGUUUAGCUCUUUUACUCUUCUUGCACUUAAGAUCCCGCUACCUUCACCAAACCCUUUUGCUGCCUCUUUCUUCAGCUCCCCAUCCCGCCUGAGUGACCUCGUUUAGAAUCCCUACCAGGCCUUGUCAGGUGUUGAUGCUCAUUGCAGAACCUCAGGCUCUAUCAGGCUUUGUGUUUUCCCAGAAAAGGCGUCUACAUGCUCAAGCAAGAACAAAAAUCGAAUCAAUGGAAAAGCGUCAUCUGAGUGUGUUUUUUUUUUUUUUUUUUUUAAUGCAUUCGAGAUGGUGACUGAGCCGAAUGCAAGGAAAAACCUGAACAAAAGUCAAGUAUUAGUUUCAGUUGACCGGUGAGAUCAAAGCGGGCACCUCCGUGGUACAAUGUGCCUUUAACGUGCAUCGCCUGCAGUGUCACCCUCUCUGUGUCAGAUGUGAGGCUCUUAGCAGCUUAAAGAUGCAACUGGGGUCUUUCAUUCCGGCCGCUGCUGCUAAUAUCCAAAAUCACCGUGUGAAAUUGCCUCGGCCGGGGCGCGGCGGCGCAUUGUGGCCCUUUCAUGUGGGGGCUCUUUGUUUGUGUUGUUGUUCUUCGGUCUGUGUGUGGCAUGUCUGUCUUAGCCUCCUGCCCCUCCCCCUCCGCCAAUUGCUCUGGGACACGUGCAGUUCGCGUGACGGCGUCGUCGAGGGAUGGUUCGCAGUGGUGGCUGAGUUAAAUGAGCUCAGACACAAGCACUCUGCAACGUCCAACACAGACACUGCAGCCCAACGCGUCAAAUAGGGGGAAACGGGGGUGGUGAAGAGGAGGAGGAUGAAGAGAGGAAGUCAUGCUAGCCUGUAUGUCUCCUGCUGAGCCGAAGGUAAUGGGGAUACUGUAUUCUUCAGGAAGUGAGAGGUUGAAAAGUGGUGCGGUGAGGGCAGUGGUGUGAAUUUUGAGCACGUUGAUUUGUGGUGUCACCCUAGUACUGGGACCCCCUGGUAUGUUUCUGACUGCACUGACAUUGGUAGAAGAUCACGGCCUUGGUUUGACUGUCCUGUGCUUGUCCGUGGCUCUUUGCUCUAGCAUCUCUCAGAAUGACACGCUUUACAAGUCGAGUCAGUCGUCCCCCCACAGCUGACUCAGUGGAUGGUACCCCUGCAUGUUCAUGCACCUACAGCUUAACUGGGGACUCUUUAACAUUUGGUAACAUCUGUUGCUACCGGGAUGAACAGCAUAGACCGGUUGGUGAAAUGAGUCCCCAAGAGUAAAAAAAAAAAAAAAAA